rnacentral:tRNA from 1 species
GUGGGUAUAGUUUAACUCAAAACAUUACGCUGUGGACAUAAAAAUAGGGCUCCCCCUCCCCCUUGCCCACC